rnacentral:misc_RNA from 1 species
AACUGAUACUACCUGCGGGAACCUGCGGAGGGAUCAUUACUGAAGUGAUUUGGGGAUGUUGCUGGCCCUCUCUCAAGGGGGGGCACUGUGCACUCCCCGAAACAAUUCACAAUUUCCAUCACACCCCUUGUGCACACCUUGUAGGCACCCAAACCCACCUCCGGGUGGUGGGGUCCUAUGUAUUCCUUCAUCUCACACUCUGUUGAAUGGUGCCAUGGGACGCAUCUAAAGGAUUAUUUG